AUUGAACGCUGGCGGCAGGCCUAACACAUGCAAGUCGAGCGGAUGAAGGGAGCUUGCUCCUGGAUUCAGCGGCGGACGGGUGAGUAAUGCCUAGGAAUCUGCCUGGUAGUGGGGGAUAACGUCCGGAAACGGGCGCUAAUACCGCAUACGUCCUGAGGGAGGAAGUGGGGGAUCUUCGGACCUCACGCUAUCAGAUGAGGCUAGGUCGGAUUAGCUAGUUGGUGGGGUAAAGGCCUACCAAGGCGACGAUCCGUAACUGGUCGGAGAGGAUGAUCAGUCACACUAGAACUGGGACACGGUCCAGACUCCUACGGGAGGCAGCAGUGGGGAAUAUUGGACAAUGGGCGAAAGCCUGAUCCAGCCAUGCCGCGUGUGUGAAGAAGGUCUUCGGAUUGUAAAGCACUUUAAGUUGGGAGGAAGGGCAGUAAGUUAAUACCUUGCUGUUUUGACGUUACCAACAGAAUAAGCACCGGCUAACUUCGUG
rnacentral:rRNA from 1 species